UACGUAGGGCGCAAGCGUUGUCCGGAAUUAUUGGGCGUAAAGAGCUCGUAGGCGGUUUGUCGCGUCUGCUGUGAAAACCUAAGGCUCAACCUUGGGCUUGCAGUGGGUACGGGCAGACUAGAGUGCGGUAGGGGUGACUGGAAUUCCUGGUGUAGCGGUGAAAUGCGCAGAUAUCAGGAGGAACACCGGUGGCGAAAGGCGGGGUCUCUGGGC
rnacentral:rRNA from 1 species